GACGAACGCUGGCGGCGUGCCUAAUACAUGCAAGUCGAGCGAGCUGAACCAACAGAUUUACUUCGGUAAUGACAUUGGGAACGCGAGCGGCGGAUGGGUGAGUAACACGUGGGGAACCUGCCCCUCAGUCUGGGAUACCACUUGGAAACAGGUGCUAAUACCGGAUAAUAAAGCAGAUCGCAUGAUCAGCUUUUGAAAGGCGGCGUAAGCUGUCGCUAAGGGAUGGCCCCGCGGUGCAUUAGCUAGUUGGUAGGGUAACGGCCUACCAAGGCAAUGAUGCAUAGCCGAGUUGAGAGACUGAUCGGCCACAUUGGGACUGAGACACGGCCCAAACUCCUACGGGAGGCAGCAGUAGGGAAUCUUCCACAAUGGACGAAAGUCUGAUGGAGCAACGCCGCGUGAGUGAAGAAGGUUUUCGGAUCGUAAAGCUCUGUUGUUGGUGAAGAAGGAUAGAGGUAGUAACUGGCCUUUAUUUGACGGUAAUCAACCAGAAAGUCACGGCUAACUACGUGCCAGCAGCCGCGGUAAUACGUAGGUGGCAAGCGUUGUCCGGAUUUAUUGGGCGUAAAGCGAGCGCAGGCGGAAGAAUAAGUCUGAUGUGAAAGCCCUCGGCUUAACCGAGGAACUGCAUCGGAAACUGUUUUUCUUGAGUGCAGAAGAGGAGAGUGGAACUCCAUGUGUAGCGGUGGAAUGCGUAGAUAUAUGGAAGAACACCAGUGGCGAAGGCGGCUCUCUGGUCUGCAACUGACGCUGAGGCUCGAAAGCAUGGGUAGCGAACAGG
rnacentral:rRNA from 1 species